AGUGAACGCUGGCGGUAGGCCUAACACAUGCAAGUCGAACGGCAGCACAGUAAGAGCUUGCUCUUACGGGUGGCGAGUGGCGGACGGGUGAGGAAUACAUCGGAAUCUACUUUUUCGUGGGGGAUAACGUAGGGAAACUUACGCUAAUACCGCAUACGACCUACGGGUGAAAGCAGGGGAUCUUCGGACCUUGCGCGAUUGAAUGAGCCGAUGUCGGAUUAGCUAGUUGGCGGGGUAAAGGCCCACCAAGGCGACGAUCCGUAGCUGGUCUGAGAGGAUGAUCAGCCCCACUGGAACUGAGACACGGUCCAGACUCCUACGGGAGGCCGCAGUGGGGAAUAUUGGACAAUGGGCGCAAGCCUGAUCCAGCCAUACCGCGUGGGUGAAGAAGGCCUUCGGGUUGUAAAGCCCUUUUGUUGGGAAAGAAAAGCAGCAGGUUAAUACCCCGCUGUUCUGACGGUACCCAAAGAAUAAGCACCGGCUAACUUCGUG
rnacentral:rRNA from 1 species